rnacentral:lncRNA from 1 species
UGUAAUUUUCUUUUUUCCCAAUAAAAGUAUCUUUAAAGUCUUAAAUAAACUAAAACAUUUCAGCUGUAUUUAAAGUUUAGAUACAACAAAUUAUAUACUUAUCAUUGUACAUUUUUAAUUUUAAUACAAGUGAAAAUUUUUGAAUAAUUAUUUGAAGACAUAUAACCUUCAAUUUUUUAAAUUUCUUAACUUUUUCAAACUUAUAUUUUUUCAGGGAAAAACAUUUAACAUUUUUAUACUUCACAUAAUUCCCUUAUUUUUUAAUACUUGGAGUCACUGAGAAUGAGUACAAGAUGAGACAUUAAUAGAAAUAGAAAAUACUAAAAAUGGGAAUCAAAAAGCAAGUCACCUGUCUUCUUUCUUUUUCUUCAAGUGCCCCUUGGUAUUCCUAGUGGUUGAGAGGGAGGAAUCGCAGGCCAGCUGCCUCCCAGACAUUAUACAAUACAGGCAAGAUCUCUCUUCUUACGUAGCUUAUGCUCUUCAGGGAGGAGCAUCCAAUAAGGAAAUAUAUGAAUAGACAAGAUCAAGCAGUUUGGAAACUAAAUUUAUAAUAUAUACACAAUCUAAUAAAAAUAUUAUGCAAGCCAUAUGUAUAAUCUUAAAUUUUCCAGUAGCCAUAUUUUAAAUAAAGUAAUUUAAUUUUGAUAUUUGAGUUAAUUCAUUACAUGAAAAUAUUUCAAUACAUAAUCAAGAUAAAAGUUAUUAUUGAGAAAACGUAUCUUUUGUACUAUGGCUUCAAAAUCUCAAAUGUAUUUUAGACUUACAGAGCAUCUCAGCAUGGACUAACCAGAGUGAAGGUGCUAAUCAGCUACAUGUAAGAAGAAUGAGAAGGAAGGAAUAUGAAUAAAUAAUAAAUCAAUAAAGAAAAUGGGAAAUGUGUAAAUAAAACAAUUAUUUAAUCUGGGUAAAAUAUAUAGUAUUUUACAUAUUCGUUUUAUAUCUUUUCUAUAAGUUUCAAAUAAUAUCAAAAACUUUUAAAAAGUUAAGCAAAAAAUAAGAAAAUGCAAUGAACAACUUUACACCAAUAAAUCUGAACACUCAGCACAUAGGCAAAGUUCUAGAGAAAUGUCAUACCAAAGUGAGUACAAGGAACUAUUUAAAGCCAGAAUAAUCCCAUCAUAGGACAACAGUUCUUAAACAUUUUGGUCUUAAUACCCCCUUCAUACUCUUAAAAGUUAUUGAGGAUUCCAAAGGGCUUUUACUCAUGUGGGUCUUUUCUACCAAUAUUUAGCAAAUUAGAAAUUGAAAAUGAAAAGUUUUAAAAAUAUGUAUUUAUUUAAAUUCAUAAUAAUAAAUCCAUUACCUUUUAACAUAACUUAUUUUAUAAGGUAAUUAUAUUUUCCUAAACAAAAACAAAUUUGGUGAGAUGAAUGGCAUGAUUUUAUAUUUUUUCAGCAUUUAGUCUGUUGCAAUCUGUUGUUUGGGUUGAAGAUAUGAGGUUGGGAAAGGAAGAAGUAUUUUUAAUAGUCAUUUCAGAUAAUUUGAAUAUUCUUUUUUAAUACUACUUCAAAACAUGAUGAGUAUAUAUUUCCUAAAGGUUAUGUGAGUUGUGAAACUUGAAACCUUGUCAAUAAAUUGCAUUUUGAAGCAUUAAAAUCUACUGGUGUAUCUUCCACUUUGAACAGAUUUUUACCAAUGCAUGAUUUUGUAACAACAUGCAUUAAUCAUAUAGAAAACAUCAGUUCACUGAGUCAUGCAGAUUUCAAAUAUUGACAUAUUACAUUAUACAAUAUCAAAACAUCACAGUUGACCACAUCAACAAGCUAAAGAAGAAAAAUUAUAUAUAACAAUUGUUGCAGAAAAGUAUUUGGAAAAGGCAACACAUAUUUAUGAUAAACUCAGCAAUUCAGGAAGAGAGGAACAUUGCCUUGAUAAACAGCAUCAAGAAAACACAACUAACAUCACACUUAAUGGUGAUGAUUGGAUGCUCUCCCCCUAAGUCUGGGGAUAAUGAAAAGAUGUCUACUCUCACACUCUCAGUCCACAUAGUGCUCUAAGGUAUAGCGACUGAGAUAGGCAAGAGUAGGACAGAUUUGGGGAAGGAAAUAAACUGUCCCUAUUUGCAGAUGACAUGCUUAUUUACAGAGAAAAUCCCAAGAAAUUUAUUAAAAAAAAACUCUUAGAACUAAUAAGUAAAUUCAUCAAAGUUGCAAGAUAUAAUAUCAUCACAUAAAAUCAGUCUCAUUUCUUUUCCUUUUUUUUUUUUUUGUUUGUUUGUUUGUUUGAGAUGGAGUCUCGCUCUGUCACCCAGGCUGGAGUGUAGUGGCGCCAUCUUGGCUCACUGCAACCUCCACCUCCCAGGUUCAAGCAAUCCUCUUACCUCAGCCUUCCAAGUAGCUGGGACCACAGGCACCACCACGCCCAGCUAAUUUUUGUAUUUUUAUUAGAGUUGGGGUUUCCCCAUGUUGGCCGAGCUGGUCUCAAACACCUGGCCUCAAGUGAGCCACCUGCUUUGGCCUCCCAAAGUGCUGGGAUUACAGGUGUGAGCCACUGCACUCAGCCCAAAUCAGUCUCAUUUCUAUAUACUAAAAAUGAUCAUGUGGAAACCAACUUUUAAAACACAGUA